rnacentral:rRNA from 2 species
UGCAGUCGAGCGAACGGACGAGAAGCUUGCUUCUCUGAUGUUAGCGGCGGACGGGUGAGUAACACGUGGAUAACCUACCUAUAAGACUGGGAUAACUUCGGGAAACCGGAGCUAAUACCGGAUAAUAUUUUGAACCGCAUGGUUCAAAAGUGAAAGACGGUCUUGCUGUCACUUAUAGAUGGAUCCGCGCUGCAUUAGCUAGUUGGUAAGGUAACGGCUUACCAAGGCAACGAUGCAUAGCCGACCUGAGAGGGUGAUCGGCCACACUGGAACUGAGACACGGUCCAGACUCCUACGGGAGGCAGCAGUAGGGAAUCUUCCGCAAUGGGCGAAAGCCUGACGGAGCAACGCCGCGUGAGUGAUGAAGGUCUUCGGAUCGUAAAACUCUGUUAUUAGGGAAGAACAUAUGUGUAAGUAACUGUGCACAUCUUGACGGUACCUAAUCAGAAAGCCACGGCUAACUACGUGCCAGCAGCCGCGGUAAUACGUAGGUGGCAAGCGUUAUCCGGAAUUAUUGGGCGUAAAGCGCGCGUAGGCGGUUUUUUAAGUCUGAUGUGAAAGCCCACGGCUCAACCGUGGAGGGUCAUUGGAAACUGGAAAACUUGAGUGCAGAAGAGGAAAGUGGAAUUCCAUGUGUAGCGGUGAAAUGCGCAGAGAUAUGGAGGAACACCAGUGGCGAAGGCGACUUUCUGGUCUGUAACUGACGCUGAUGUGCGAAAGCGUGGGGAUCAAACAGGAUUAGAUACCCUGGUAGUCCACGCCGUAAACGAUGAGUGCUAAGUGUUAGGGGGUUUCCGCCCCUUAGUGCUGCAGCUAACGCAUUAAGCACUCCGCCUGGGGAGUACGACCGCAAGGUUGAAACUCAAAGGAAUUGACGGGGACCCGCACAAGCGGUGGAGCAUGUGGUUUAAUUCGAAGCAACGCGAAGAACCUUACCAAAUCUUGACAUCCUUUGACAACUCUAGAGAUAGAGCCUUCCCCUUCGGGGGACAAAGUGACAGGUGGUGCAUGGUUGUCGUCAGCUCGUGUCGUGAGAUGUUGGGUUAAGUCCCGCAACGAGCGCAACCCUUAAGCUUAGUUGCCAUCAUUAAGUUGGGCACUCUAAGUUGACUGCCGGUGACAAACCGGAGGAAGGUGGGGAUGACGUCAAAUCAUCAUGCCCCUUAUGAUUUGGGCUACACACGUGCUACAAUGGACAAUACAAAGGGCAGCGAAACCGCGAGGUCAAGCAAAUCCCAUAAAGUUGUUCUCAGUUCGGAUUGUAGUCUGCAACUCGACUACAUGAAGCUGGAAUCGCUAGUAAUCGUAGAUCAGCAUGCUACGGUGAAUACGUUCCCGGGUCUUGUACACACCGCCCGUCACACCACGAGAGUUUGUAACACCCGAAGCCGGUGGAGUAACCUUUUAG